rnacentral:rRNA from 1 species
UACGUAGGGUGCAAGCGUUGUCCGGAAUUAUUGGGCGUAAAGAGCUCGUAGGCGGUUUGUCGCGUCGAAUGUGAAAACCCGGGGCUCAACCCCGGGCCUGCAUUCGAUACGGGCAGACUAGAGUUCGGUAGGGGAGUCUGGAAUUCCUGGUGUAGCGGUGAAAUGCGCAGAUAUCAGGAGGAACACCGGUGGCGAAGGCGGGACUCUGGGCCGAUACUGACGCUGGAUGCGCGAAAGCCAGGGGAGCGAACGGG